rnacentral:rRNA from 1 species
GACGAACGCUGGCGGCGUGCUUAACACAUGCAAGUCGAACGGAAAGGCCCCUUUGGGGGUACUCGAGUGGCGAACGGGUGAGUAACACGUGAGUAACCUGCCCUUGACUUCGGGAUAACUUCAGGAAACUGGGGCUAAUACCGGAUAGGAAUCCUUGCUGCAUGGUGGGGGUUGGAAAGCUGCGGCGGGUUUGGAUGGACUCGCGGCUUAUCAGCUUGUUGGUGGGGUAGGGGCUUACCAAGGCUUUGACGGGUAGCCGGCCUGAGAGGGCGACCGGCCACAUUGGGACUGAGAUACAGCCCAGACUCCUACGGGGGGCAGCAGUGGGGAAUAUUGCACAAUGGGCGGAAGCCUGAUGCAGCAACGCCGCGUGCGGGAUGACGGCCUUCGGGUUGUAAACCGCUUUCAGCAGGGGCGAAGCUUGUGGUGACGGUACCUGCAGAAGAAGCACCGGCUAACUACGUG